GUAAUAGGAGCAUUAUAGGUGAAGUCCAAAAAAUGAAAAAAAGAAAAAAUGGAUAAUAGAACUAUCAUUGCACUUAAACAACACUCAUUCACAUUGAACUCACUCACUCAUUUCAAAAAAUGAAAAAAAUUGACUCAAAACAAAGCAAAAAUCAUCGUGGGAAGUGUUGUUGUUCUAGCUGGAGAGUGACGUUGAAUUUUCUGUACAAAUGGCUCUCAAACCCCUAGUAAUCAAUUACUUAAUCUUCAAAAAAGGAACAAUGAUCAUUCACCUCAAUUAAAGCAUACCACAUAAAUAGACAUUUUUUUUAAGAAAUCAAUGACCUAACUUAAUUAUUG
rnacentral:lncRNA from 1 species